GCUGGUCUUCCGAAAUUGAACAAGCUAAAUAACUUGAGAGGAGAACUAAGUAUUACAAUUAAGGUACGGGUGAAAGAUGCCACCUCUAAAGCCAAGGCUGCGAAUUUGAAGGAUAAGCAGCAUCUUAGAAAAUUGGAAUUAAUAUGGGAUGAUGAGCUGGGUAACGAUGUCGCAGGUGUUUGUGAAGAUGAAAAUUUAAUGGAAGGCCUCUAGCCACACCAGAAUUUAAAGAUGUUGAAUGUGAAAGGGUACCAGGGUGUGAGAUUUCCGAGUUGGCUUCCUUCGCUAACUGGUCUUGUGAUAUUAGAAAUAUCAAAAUCAAUGUGCCAACAUCUAUCGCCAAUGUAUCAACUCUUAAAUCUCCAAAAUCUAUCUCUUAAAGAUAUGGAUGGUCUGGAAUACAUAUCAGACCGAGAAACCACUGAAGAGAUCUCUGCUUCAUCAUCAUUUUUCCCAACCCUAGAGUCACUCAAAUUGUGGAAUUGCCCUAAUCUAAAGGGGUGGUGGAGGAGGGAUACUGUGGGUGUGGCAACAUCAAGUCAUCAAUGCCAGCCGCAUGUAUCAUUGCCUUCUUUUCCACGUCUUUUACUAUUGGAAAUUAGUGGUUGCAAAAUCCUGACUUACAUGCCGUUGUUUCCAAAUCUUGAAGAACGGCUACGACUGACAUUUUCCAGUUGCAAUCCAUUGCAACAAAUAAUGAAUAUGACAGCAAUCUCUUCGGUUCCCUCUGCUUCGAACUCCUCCCCUCCUCCCUCCAAAUUAAAGUUUCUAUCUUUGUCUUGGAUUCGGGACGUAGAGUUUCUGCCAGAGCAGUGGUUGCAAAACCUGGCUUCUCUCGAGGAGCUAGUGAUAGAAGGAUGCAAUAGACUAAAAUCUCUAUCUCUGUCUCUAUUUAUGCAACAUCUCACCUCCCUCAAGACACUGUCUAUUAGCAACUGCGAGGAGGUUGAUCUGUCCAGUGAUGAAGACGCACAAUCUGUUGGUGUCAGCCCUCUGUAAUGCCUCACAAUUUCUUAUGUUCCCCGCUUGGUUACUCUACCAUUGUGGAUAGGCAACCUUACAUCACAUCUUCAAAUUCAGAAUUGCCUUAAUCUCGUAUCACUUUCUGAGGAGAUUGGCAACCUUACGGUACUUGAAAACCUAAAAAUUUUCAAUUGCCCCAAUCUCAAAUCACUUCCAGAAGGGAUUGGCAACCUUACUGCACUUCAAAUACUUGAAAUCCGCAACUGCAACUUUCUCAGUUCACUCCCCGAAGGGAUUGGCAACCUUACUACACUUCAGAAACUCGAAAUUUCCUAUUUGCCCAAUCUGAUAUCACUCCCUGAAGGGAUUGGAAGUCUCACAGCACUUCAAAAACUUGAAAUUAUCAGAUGCCCCAAUCUGACAUUACUUCCAUCUGGAAUGCAUCGGCUUUCCUCUUUACAAACUCUGAUAAUAAUUAAGUGUCCCCACUUGAAAGAAAGAUACCAAAAGGGAAUUGGCGAGAUUGCUCAUGUCCCAGAUUUUCAAUAUCUUGACCCUUUUUUUUAAGGAUUAAAUUCUUUUUCGGCAACCAAUAUACUUGGGCUUCUUUGGAUUUAUUCAAAACACUGUACAAACAACUGAAAGGAUGCCAAGAAAACAUGGGACAAUUGCCUAAAAUUGCUCACUGAUGAACCCAAUUCUUGGAAGGGUCUGGAUGCCAUGGGUACCACUGCUCUCAUAUGCAAAAGCAAUUGAAUCAUAGAAAAAGUCCUAAUGUUGUACUUUUUUCUGUUUAAAAACUUUUGGGCACCGCAAUUGUGCGAAAAGUCGACAACUAGGAGGUGAGUACCUUCUUUUUCUUUUGUUUUCUUCUCUCACAAAAUUUGUCAUUUGAGAUAAUGACCUCUUGCCAUACCAGUAGGGGAAAAGAAGAAAUUAAGGCAGAUAUAUAAACC